GGCGAGGUAGCUCAGCCUGGGAGAAACAUAAAUAUAUAGAUACAUCCCAAGAGCGCCCGGCUGAAGACCGGGGUGUCGUCGGUUCAAAUCCGGCCCUCGCCA
rnacentral:tRNA from 1 species